GAUGAAGAACGUAGCGAAAUGCGAUACGUAAUGUGAAUUGCAAAUUCAGUGAAUCAUCGAGUCUUUGAACGCACAUUGCGCCCCCUGGUAUUCCGGGGGGCAUGCCUGUCCGAGCGUCAUUGCUGCCCUCAAGCACGGCUUGUGUGUUGGGCCCCGUCCUCCGAUCCCGGGGGACGGGCCCGAAAGGCAGCGGCGGCACCGCGUCCGGUCCUCGAGCGUAUGGGGCUUUGUCACCCGCUCUGUAGGCCCGGGCGGCGCUUGCCGAUCAACCCAAAUUUUUAUCCAGGUUGACCUCGGAUCAGGUAGGGAUACCCGCUGAACUUAAGCAUAUCAAUAAGCGGAGGA
rnacentral:misc_RNA from 1 species